rfam:Anaerolineae bacterium SM23_ 63 WORSMTZ_1099, whole genome shotgun sequence.
GGGUGGGUCCGGCGCGGCGGAGACCUUCAAAUCCCGUCAGGUCCGAGAGGAAGCAGCGGUAAGGAGGUCACUCCGGGUGCCGCCGGGGUACCGACCCAGA